UCACAGGAAACAAGGGAAAUGGUCU
rnacentral:piRNA from 1 species